CUUGAUUAAACCAUAAGAGGUCCAGCCUGCCCAGUGACAUUGUUCAACGGCCGCGGUAUCCUAACCGUGCGAAGGUAGCGUAAUCACUUGUCCUUUAAAUGAAGACUAGUAUGAAUGGCCCCACGAAAGCUAUACUGUCUCCUUUUUCUAAUCAGUUAAACUAAUCUCCCCGUGAAGAAGCGGGGAUAAACAUAUAAGACGAGAAGACCCUAUGGAGCUUCAAACAACUGAAACACUUGUAUAUCCUCCCCUCACCUACCAACAUUUAACCUCACAUUUUGUUUCUAGUUUUAGGUUGGGGUGACCACGGAGAAAAAACUAACCUCCACGACGAAAGAGACAUCUCUAAACAAAAAGCUACAUCUUUAUGUAUUAACACAUUAACCUUUAUUGACCCA
rnacentral:rRNA from 2 species